rnacentral:misc_RNA from 1 species
UACGCCGUCAGUACUAGUUGCCGGCUUAUCGAAAUAACAAGUAAAUUAAAUCAAAUUCAGUGCCUAUUGUGAUUAAAGUGCAGUUAUCUCAAUAUUUAGUGCAUAAAACAAGUACAUUACGUGUUUUUUCAACAGAUAUACUAGUACACAAAGAUAUUAGGACCUAACAAGUACAUAGUGCUAAUUAUCUUAACUAAAACUACGAAUUACAAAUCGAAUGUGCCCAUGAAGAAGCUGCCGAGCAAUACUCCCAGCGGAAUACUUUCGAGGCAACGUACUACAGCAGCAUCGCUCGCGCCCAGCUCCUGCUGAGCGAGGCGGAGGGUCCUGCAGGCAGGAGUAGUAAGUCACCACCAGCCGAUAUGCAGGUGACGGAUAUGAAGCGCACAAAGCUCGGACCAAAAUGACUUAUUGCCACUCACACCUGGCCACUUCAUCAUCGGGCGAAGUAUGACGGCGAUCCCAGAAGAAGACCUUACUUCACGCACCAGAUUAGUGGACAGAUACCAGAAGAUUAAACAGCUUCGCCAGCACUUCUGGGCACGUUGGCAACUAGAAUAUAUAAGUGAGCUUCAGAUCCGAACUAAAUGGAGGCAGUCGACGAACGGGCAACUAGAGAUUGGGACCCUCGUCGUUAUCAAAGAUAAGCAACAACCUCCAAUAAAAUGGCUCCUAGGGAGAAUACAACGAGUCUUCCCAGGGCGCGACGGCGUUACCAGAGUCGCAGAGAUUCAAACUGCCACUGGAUUGCUGCGCAGAGACUUUACCAAGAUCUGCCCCUUACCCGUGGACACUACAGUUGAAGACGACACUUCAAGGUCCGCCGGCAUGUCGCGUACCACUCCAACAGGGCGACCGCGGGGUGAGGUGACAGCGGGGAGCAGCCAUCUUCGGGAUUGACUUACUUACUAGCCACCGCGGCCAUGACUCGGCUCUUUACAUUUUUGUAUAUUUUUUUAUAAUUAAAAUCAUAGUAACAAU